rnacentral:rRNA from 1 species
GAUGAACGCUAGCUACAGGCUUAACACAUGCAAGUCGAGGGGAAACGACAUUGAAGCUUGCUUCGAUGGGCGUCGACCGGCGCACGGGUGAGUAACGCGUAUCCAACCUGCCUCUGACUAAGGGAUAACCCGGCGAAAGUCGGACUAAUACCUUAUGAGGUUUUCUGCAGACAUCUAACGAAAACGAAAGAUUUAUCGGUCAGCGAUGGGGAUGCGUCUGAUUAGCUUGUUGACGGGGUAACGGCCCACCAAGGCGACGAUCAGUAGGGGUUCUGAGAGGAAGGUCCCCCACAUUGGAACUGAGACACGGUCCAAACUCCUACGGGAGGCAGCAGUGAGGAAUAUUGGUCAAUGGGCGAGAGCCUGAACCAGCCAAGUAGCGUGCAGGAAGACGGCCCUAUGGGUUGUAAAACUCUGUGAUCCGGGACGAAAAGGCAGACUGCGAAAAACAGACAGCAUUGACGGUACCGGAAAAGCAAGCCACGGCUAACUACGUGCCAGCAGCCGCGGUAAUACGUAGGUGGCAAGCGUUGUCCGGAAUUAUUGGGCGUAAAGCGCGCGCAGGCGGCUUCCCAAGUCCCUCUUAAAAGUGCGGGGCUUAACCCCGUGAUGGGAAGGAAACUGGGAAGCUGGAGUAUCGGAGAGGAAAGUGGAAUUCCUAGUGUAGCGGUGAAAUGCGUAGAGAUUAGGAAGAACACCGGUGGCGAAGGCGACUUUCUGGACGAAAACUGACGCUGAGGCGCGAAAGCGUGGGGAGCAAACAGG